AAAAAUAUUUGGUCUCGUGCCAAAUUUACACCUGUGUGCACCAUUGUCUGUAUUUGGUAGCUCGAGCGCGCUCCGGAAGCUCAACACUUCCAUUAGGGGCGCCUACCCUUGCGGGUCACAUCCCGCUUGGGUUGGGCUACCGCCUUUUUUUUGAAAAACCUUUUUUGUUUUGUCUUCUUGUCUGAACGAAGAGUUGAUCUUAAUUGAUUAAUGAUUUGAAAA
rnacentral:misc_RNA from 1 species